rnacentral:rRNA from 1 species
AUUGAACGCUGGCGGAAUGCUUUACACAUGCAAGUCGAACGGUAACAGGUCUUCGGAUGCUGACGAGUGGCGAACGGGUGAGUAAUGCAUCGGAACGUGCCCAGUAGUGGGGGAUAGCCCGGCGAAAGCCGGAUUAAUACCGCAUACGACCUGAGGGUGAAAGGGGGGGAUCGCAAGACCUCUCGCUAUUGGAGCGGCCGAUGUCAGAUUAGCUAGUUGGUGGGGUAAAGGCCUACCAAGGCAACGAUCUGUAGUUGGUCUGAGAGGACGACCAGCCACACUGGGACUGAGACACGGCCCAGACUCCUACGGGAGGCAGCAGUGGGGAAUUUUGGACAAUGGGCGCAAGCCUGAUCCAGCAAUGCCGCGUGCAGGAAGAAGGCCUUCGGGUUGUAAACUGCUUUUGUCAGGGAAGAAAUCUUCUGGGCUAAUACCUCGGGAGGAUGACGGUACCUGAAGAAUAAGCACCGGCUAACUACGUGCCAGCCGCCGCCGUAA